GAUGAACGCUGGCGGCGUGCCUAAUACAUGCAAGUCGAGCGAACAGAUAAGGAGCUUGCUCCUUUGACGUUAGCGGCGGACGGGUGAGUAACACGUGGGUAACCUACCUAUAAGACUGGGAUAACUUCGGGAAACCGGAGCUAAUACCGGAUAACAUUUGGAACCGCAUGGUUCUAAAGUGAAAGAUGGUUUUGCUAUCACUUAUAGAUGGACCCGCGCCGUGUUAGCUAGUUGGUAAGGUAACGGCUUACCAAGGCAACGAUACGUAGCCGACCUGAGAGGGUGAUCGGCCACACUGGAACUGAGACACGGUCCAGACUCCUACGGGAGGCAGCAGUAGGGAAUCUUCCGCAAUGGGCGAAAGCCUGACGGAGCAACGCCGCGUGAGUGAUGAAGGGUUUCGGCUCGUAAAACUCUGUUAUUAGGGAAGAACAAACGUGUAAGUAACUGUGCACGUCUUGACGGUACCUAAUCAGAAAGCCACGGCUAACUACGUG
rnacentral:rRNA from 1 species